AGCCCACUUGUGGGUGGAUUAGUGGCGAACGGGUGAGUAACACGUGAGUAACCUGCCCUUGACUCUGGGAUAAGCCUGGGAAACUGGGUCUAAUACCGGAUAUGACUGAUCAUCGCAUGGUGGUUGGUGGAAAGCUUUUUGUGGUUUUGGAUGGACUCGCGGCCUAUCAGCUUGUUGGUGAGGUAAUGGCUUACCAAGGCGACGACGGGUAGCCGGCCUGAGAGGGUGACCGGCCACACUGGGACUGAGACACGGCCCAAACUCCUACGGGAGGCAGCAGUGGGGAAUAUUGCACAAUGGGCGCAAGCCUGAUGCAGCGACGCCGCGUGAGGGAUGACGGCCUUCGGGUUGUAAACCUCUUUCAGUAGGGAAGAAGCCUUUCGGGGUGACGGUACCUGCAGAAGAAGCGCCGGCUAACUACGUGCCAGCAGCCGCGGUAAUACGUAGGGCGCAAGCGUUAUCCGGAAUUAUUGGGCGUAAAGAGCUCGUAGGCGGUUUGUCGCGUCUGCCGUGAAAGUCCGGGGCUCAACUCCGGAUCUGCGGUGGGUACGGGCAGACUAGAGUGAUGUAGGGGAGACUGGAAUUCCUGGUGUAGCGGUGAAAUGCGCAGAUAUCAGGAGGAACACCGAUGGCGAAGGCAGGUCUCUGGGCAUUAACUGACGCUGAGGAGCGAAAGCAUGGGGAGCGAACAGGAUUAGAUACCCUGGUAGUCCAUGCCGUAAACGUUGGGCACUAGGUGU
rnacentral:rRNA from 1 species